GCCCGCGGGAGGGGGAGCCGGGCCCGGCGGAGCUCGGAGCAGGGGCGCUGUGUGGGCUCGGUAGCUGAGAGGGCUGUGAGCUUCGAAGAACAGAAUCACGGGGUAGUUCGGCUUGGGUCUGAGAUCACCCGCUCCAAACCCCUUGCCAGGGCAGGGUCACCUGGAGCGGACACGGGAACGUGUCCAUGUGGUUUUGGAAUGCCUCCAGAGAGGGAGACUCUGCGCCUUCUCUGGGCAGCUGCUCCAGUGCUCUGCGACCCUUCGUGCAAAGUUCUUCCUGAUGUUGAGAUGGAAUUUGUGUUUUAGUUUAUAGCCACUGCUCUUUGUCCUGUUGCUGGGCACCACUGAGAAAAGUCUGGCUCCAACCUCUUGGCACCUCUUGGAUAUAUUUGUAUGUAUUGAUGAGCUCCCCUCUCAGCCUUCUCCAGACUGAACAGGCCCAGCUCCUGCAGUCUCUCCUCAUAAGAGAUGUGCUCCAGACCCAUCGUCAGCUUUCAUCAGAUGGUUACUGACCUAUAAUUAUUUUUUAAAACUAUUUAGAGUACUGAAGAUGUCAGAUUUGUGAGGCAAUAACACUCUUUUACUAUGGUGCCAUUAGAAUACUGCCUCAGGGAGAUGCAAAUAUAGAGAGCUAGCUUGUGUAAAUUCCUCAUGGUAGUGUAUUUAGCUGGAUUAGUCCUUUAAACAAAUCUCCUCAGGCUUAAGUUUUAAAUUAAGAUAAUGAGCAGUCCUGCUGAAGUUGGAGAAAUAGAGAAUUUGGUAUGGAAAUUCACUGAAUCAGGACUAGCCUGUAUAUUCAGCCUCUUUAAAAUGUUUUCUCUUUGGAACGUGGGUGGAAAACAGGUGGAAAACCUGUUUACCUUCUCUGGGUUUUCCCAGUGUGCGUGUACCCAUAGCGUGACAGGUCAGCCUGCCAAAACGUGUGAGAAAAAAUAGUAAAGAUGCUGCCACAAGAUAUGGUUCUGCCUCAGCAUGACCUUAGAUAUUUGUUGGCUUUAGCAAAGUUCUGCUCAAUACAAAUGAAGGUCUGAAAGGGAUAGAGGUAUUAAUAAUUUAUGGUAAAUCUGUUACUGAUGGCAAGAAUAGCAAGUUCUCUAAAAAUGAAUGCAAGCCAUGAUGUUUGUCUCAAGGAUUCUGUUACUCAAGCUGAGAUAGCAACAAAGCACUUUGAAGGUUAAUUAUGGACCACAUGAUGGCAGCAACAGCUGAAAGAAGAGAUUCAAAUGUUUCAUCCUUGAGAUCACCACCUCAAUCCUCAACAUUGAAGACCUCUAAAACCAGCAGAUUAAUUCCUUACUGUACCAGCUGAUGCAGAAUAAGUUAAUUAUGGUGCCAAGGAAACUUCAUUUGACUUAUAACAUCUCCUAAACAGAGAUGAUACCCUUUUCUUGCAUCUAUGUACAAUGGAGCAUCUACAACCUAAAUAUUAAAGAAUAGCUUAAAUAAUUUUUUAAAUCAUUUUAUUAACAGCAGAGAUAAUUGUUCACUGAAGAGAUACACUGUCAUCACAAAACUCCAGAAGUGAACAGAAGUUGUAGUUUAACUUGAGGAUUUGGGCUUGCUUCUGCCUUUCAUUCCUAUCAAAAGAAGGCAUUGUUUCUCAGUGUUUUUGGAAAUUAAGUCAAUGUAUUUGGCUGAAUAUCAAAUACUGAUUUAUUAGAAACCUUUUUAUAAAAAACCUUAGAGAAUCCUCUACUUUGGUCCAUGGGAAAUGCUUUGAGGAAAGGAUAAGGACUUCAGUUUUCCUUACAUGUAGGUCACUAAUUUGGUCAACAAAAUUAAGAUUUUCAUUUCCAAGGAUCCCUUUAGUACUCCACAAAGAGGCAGUGGAUCUCACAGGGAAUUCCUGAUCAGAAGUCUAUUUCAGUGCUGGAGGCGGGCUGGGGGCUCUCCUGCCAGGCUGCCAUGCACAGAUGGAGAGGGAGGAGCCAGUUUCCACCUGCUGUUGUGCCCUGUCUCUUCCAGAGCUGCUGCAAAAGCAUGUUGUGUUUGUCAGCUGUGGGUGAUAACGUCUGCGUUCAGAAAGCACCGACUCUGCCUUUGCACAUGAAGAGUGGUCUCAGGAACGUGCUCCAGCACUGCUGCCCCUCUGCCCUGCCACGUGCUGUCCCCACAGCUGCCUCAGGCUGCCCGUGUGGAGCCUGGCCACUUGGAUUUAUGGGAAUGGAGCUGCUCAGCUGUUUGAAGUAAUGGGUGCAUAUUCAUCCGUAUCCAGGAUUCAGAUAUGCAAAACAUCGCAGUUUUGGAUCUACCCAAAACUGCACUUCAGUCACCAAGAGGCUUUGAGGUGCACUGACUGAUUUCGGCAAUUCUCUAGGUGGGCACUGAGCUCCUGCAUCUUUGUGAUGAAAUUCAUGCAAUUUGAUGUCCUUUUGCACUGCACUGCUCCAUCUUCUUAGUUUUUAUUCAGCUUUUAUUCAAACAGGAUGCUUUAAGUAUCUGGAUCUUGAAAUUCAUUGUCUGAUUCUUUAGUAGUCAUCAUUCUCACCUGAUAAAAUUGCUCAACUCCUUCACAGCAAUUGAGACAAAUAAAAAUUCCUUGAUUCUGAAACUUUGGUGGGUACAGAAGUCAGAAGGAUACAGUCUCUUCUGACUGUAAUGGCUGUGUUGUUGCUUUUGCUGUCAGCAGUGUUUAUUUUUAUUAAUAGAUACUACUUUGUUUUGUUCUCAUUUAGCCUCAUAGACUAAUGUUUAAAGUAGCCGAGAAUCAGAUUUUACCUAAAGAACAUUUCAUUUAUUGAAGGUUA